UUAAAAAACAAUGCACGCUAUUGUUAUUUUCUCUUACAUAUUAAUUUAUGGAAGUGAUCAACGUGGCUUGUGAGCUACUAUAAGCAUGCACUAUAAACGUAUCGUUCUGCAAUUCGAAUGGAAUAUGAAAUUCCGAUUAAGGAACAUUCUGUUCUCUCCGUAAAUUAUUUACAAACUAUUAUUGAUCUUUCCCGACUAUAUUUUAAUUUAAUGUAAUCUCGAGUCGAUCUAUAAAUUUUCUCAAAAUGUUGACAUUUUUUAUAUAACGAAUUCUAUGAAAGAUUUAGCGAAUUCGAAGAUUUUUGUCGAGAAACUUGUAGUUGACUCGUUGUCGAGAAAUUUGUUGUGACAGCCGUGUUUCAUCUCGUACAGUGCUAAUGAAGUUUCAAAAUCUUUUAUAUAACGCAUAUAUAAUAUGGACGUACAAAUUUUGUACGUAUUCAAAUACCUUUCGUAAGCAAAUGUAUGUAAUGUAAAUUGUGCAAUAUGGGGGUACUGACUAAGGAAAAUACGAUAUAUUUUAUCCUAAAUUUUGAGUACAAUUACAAACGUUUCUUACGUAACGGUUAUUCCAGAGAAACAUUAGUGAGUUGGAAAGAAAAUAGUUUUUGCUAGAAAGAUUACGCUCGUAUUAAUUUAAAUGCGUAUAAUUUGUAUUUUUACUUCAUAAUUUUAUUGUCAAAUAUUUCCAACGAAUAAGAAUUUGUAUAUCGAUAUUGUUCGAUAUUUUAGUUUGAGAUUACAAAACUUCUUUUUAGUUUGUCGAUAUUGCAUAUAGGAAAUUUUAUUAUGUCGUCAAUUAAUUAAUGGCAAGUAUGAAUCAUUGACCGUAUUGCGACUUGCUUGAAACUUGAACACGCGGUACAUUUGUGGAUCAAAGUGCCGCUACUUAACUGUAUUUGUCUUCCUCUCUUUCCCUCUAAAGAUAACGUUGAUGUGUGCGUAUAUACAUAUAUUAAACACACGUCUCCCAUAUGUAUAUAAAUACUUAUAUUCUUUGUCUUCUUUCCCCGUAAUCUUUUUCUGGCCUCUCCGCUUCUUUCACCCGUCUCCCCUAUUAGUUAUGCUACGAAUCGUUGGUUGGAACUCGUAUAGUUAAGAGCGAAAUAUCAGUACCAGUUACGCCGCUAAUUCUUUGGACCUUUCGGUUAGCUGUUAGCUUCUGACUAAUUCUUAUUUUAGGCACAAGCGUUGUAUGCGGCGCGACGUCUCGUAAUGGCUGCUUUAAAGAACGAAGUAUAUAAUAGCAGAUAUUUAGAUACAACAGAUAAAUAAGUAGCGAGAGGGGGGGGGGCAUGGAGUAAGAUCGUUGCCACUUGUAACUGUAACAAGUCGCGAUAAUUGACCGUUGGUCAUAUUUGAAAUAGAACAUAGAUCUAUACUUCUUGGCGUUUCUGUUUUUCUUAUGAUCAUAUAGUAUACAGGCUAUGGUGCACAUAAACGGACGUAGCGUACAGUGACCUCGGCGGCAUUCUCCGUGUCGACUUUGUCGACUUUGUCUCCUUAAAACUUCGUGAUCGUACGACGCUUGGAAUUCGUGGUCGAACGAUCAAGCGACUUUGAUGUAUAUCUUUGAAAAUAUUUUUCUCAAUCAGCAAUAACAUCGAUGUUGUCGAUAAUGUUAACAGAUAUUUUAAAUACAAAUGACUCUAUAGAGACAUAUAUUAUAGCUUGUAGAUGUUCAAUAUCGAGGAGGAAAAAUUGUUACACGAGAGUUCGAUAUACGUAAUCUGAGAGUUCGUAUUUAUUUGCAUUAGCGAAUAGUACACGAUAUUAUUGCGAAUUAAAGAGAAAAACGUUUUAGAGGUCAUCUGAUACCCUGAGAUCGCUGUAUUCAGAAAUAUCUUUCUAUAUAUAUACAGGCAUUAUUUGGACAUUACGAUUAGAUAAAGCGUGGAUAUUUUUAUAUGAUUGUACAGUGUUGUUGGGAAGUAUAAUUUAGAAAAGAAAGGCGAAAAUUAUUAUUUAGAGGUGUUGGGAAUUAGACAUGUAUGCAUACUUUGAAUCAUUUAUUGUAAGAAUACGAGAAUUAAUUUAAUUAGUAUGUUUUAUUUAAGAAAACAAGCGAAUCCUGCAACUGUAUUUUUAUCAUGAUUCGAUAGACGUCUAUCAACUAGUCGUUUAACCUCUGCGGAAGUUAAUUACGACGUUAGCCUAACACAACAGUCUAUAGCUAUAUCUACAGAUUUCCGGUUUGCCAUUCUCUUCGUUUUUGAUAUAUGCUGCUACAAGAAAGAGUCUAAUGGAAAAAUACCUUACAAUUCAUACGAAUCCAUAAUUGAUUUUAUUUAUCCAAUAUAAUGUGGUUAAUUUAAUGUGGUUAAAAGGUUACAUCGCGAACUAUAAUUGCGAAUUAUAAUUAAUUAUCCUCGUAAAUUUUCAAUCGAUCGUUUUAGUUUAUCCUAUGAUUAUUAUUUUACAUUCUUCGUUGAUUAUAAUUAUUCGUUACCGAUGCUAAAUAAUUACGUAAUUGUAAUCAUUUGUCAGUUUUCUCGCUAAGAAUUUGUCAUAUUCGUGCGAAUAUACUCGUUCCGAAGCUGAAUAUUUACGUGCGUAGUGAAUCAUGUGUCGUAGAAAGUCCAUUCCGAGCGAAGGAAAAACUUGUUUAAUGCAGUUGCAACGAUCACAAUGUCAAUUUCAAAUCGUGCUUCUCGUGGAAGAGGCUCGCGUAGCAACGGUUUCGCGUGAAUUACGGCGAGUAACAAGAUCGGUGCUCUACUUUGUUCUGAUUCGCGUUGCACGAUGCCGAUAUUCCCUGCUCCGGGAAAUGUUGUUUUCCGCGAUUAUAGAGGAAAGGGGAGAGACGUCGAACGAAAGGCGAUGAAACACGCCAGUUGAACUCGAGACCGAUGCAGGAUGCGUGACAUAAUCGCGACGAUAUACGAGAAUUCACGAUGGGACCGAUUUUUCUCUACGUUUAUCUAUGCCAAGUUAAUAUUUUUAACCUUUAAACGACGACAUAACCUCGAAAUAACACCACGCGUGGAAAGUAAGGGAUACUGUGUACUAGGGAUACAUACGAUGGUAACACGAGAAACGUCUGUUUUCUUCGGUUAAGGCACCAACGACGCUGGAGGAAGGGAAAUACGUGGCGUCGCGUCCGGUAAUCUCCAACGACCCAGCUCGUCGCUCCAAGUGGCCGUGGAUCUGACGGCAGCGACAUCGCGAAACGGACAUCCGGGUCGAAGAUGAGGAACCAUCGCGUCGCAUAUUUGCGAGUCUAUCUCCGGUAGCACCAGUUCUCGCUUGCCUCUCGGACCCGGCAAGAUCCACCAGGUGAAGCCUUCCUCUCUUUACCGGAUUCUCAGUCUUACUGCUCUCUUCGUUAAUGGCCAGCGUUUCCAAGGACAACGUCAACACAGCG